ensembl:lncRNA
GAGAUCAGCACAUAGCAGUCCUGGUGACACGUGGUGGUGACCACAGACCACGGUUGUGUCAGAGGAGAGGGAGAGAAGUGCUGGAUUCAAGAGACACUUAGAAGGCAGCUGGUACAGGACUUGUUGACCAAUGUGGACAGGGAGAUGGAGGAGUUGAUGACGUUGGCCUGAUUUCUGCUGGAGUGACUGACUACCGGACAGUGGCCUUCCCCUGAGAGGGGCAACACGGAAGGAGCAGUUUCAUGCUGGGGGAGCAGUCUUGGAUCUGCUGAGUUGGUGUGACCAGUAGGAAGAGGAGCGGAGCUGGAGAUAAACAGAUCUGAGAACCAUCGACAAGUUUCUGAAGCUAUGGGAGACUGAACCAUCGCCCCCAAGAAAUGAGUGUGGAGUGGGCAGAGAGGGGCCCGGGACAGAACCCCGUGGAACACGAAUAUUCAGGGGGUGGUGUAGAGAGUGGUAUGCCAGAGAAUGGAGAGGAAAACCCCAUGAGGCAACAGAGGAGCCCAGGGAAGACAGUGUUCCAGGAAAGAGGAAGAAGUCAAGAGCUCAGGGCUUCAAGUGACCACAGAAGUGAAGAACGUCCAAACCCUCUGGACUUCAUAGCAAGGAGGUCAUCGGCAACCCUGGCGAGAACGGCUUCAGGGCAGUUGGGGCGGAUUCAGAUUGCAUGGGAGUCACGAAAGCAGAGGCCCAGAGACGGUGGAAGGAAGUGAGACUGGACGCGGAACCUGUACUUUGAGACUCCAAACUCUGCUGUCUCCUUGCAGAGAGGACCCUCACAUUCCUGGGCUUCGAGGCGCUCAGUGGGCGGAUCUAGUGGUCAACAGGGCCAGGGAGGAGACUCAAUGUCCCAUCUGUGAUGGGCUCCUCGCCACGUUCCCUCAGCCAGCAUGGGUGGAGGAGCGGAGACGGCUGCCCUGGGCAGAUGCCUUGCUCGCCUUCCUGGACACCUGGACUACCUAUGACGUGGCAGAGGCUCGUUUUCUCAGCGGAGGUGCCGUGAAAUAUGAAAUGGGGGCAAACGGGAAGUUCUGCUGCAGAAAUGGGAAGAUGGGUGGAGUUGGGCACGCAGGUUGGUUCUGUCUCCCCCUCCAAAUGUGUACAUAUCUUGGGGCAAAACUUUAACAUUUUACAAUUACGUUCUCACUGAUCUUAUUUGAGUCACACAGUAAUAGUAAGAUAUCUCAAGGUACAAAUUCUUCUCCUAUCAGACCGGAAAGGUCUACAAAGCCCUAAAUUUGGGCAUCCAGCCUGCGUCCUUUGCUUGCUGCAGGCAGGGAUCCCUUCCACGGCACCCACCAGGGCAUGUUCUUACCAAGCCCAGCUCGCUGUCCACUCCUGCCGCCCUCCCAGGCCGGGUCCCCCACAGCCCACUCCCCCAGGCCUCAGCCCUGGCGUCCUCCAGGCAGGGCCUGCUCACAAUAUAACUCAAGGCUCUGAAUGCUUGUCACGCAUCUACCGUCGCUCAGACCAGCAGUGUCUGGCAGUGACAACAUGGGCCCGCGUGUGGCGAAGACGUGUGUGGGACAGAUGAGAAGUGAGAUUGGAGCAAUCCGGGCCAGUGGAGAUGUUGCCUCAGACUCCAGCAAAUCUCGCUUGACGGUGCAGCCUUCCAUGGCUCUUGCUCUGCUCGUCUCGGCCUCACUUGGCUCUGAAACCACAUCACCCCAGCUCCAAGCACGACUCAACCCUCUACCUGCUGUGUGACAUUGAGCAAGUUUAUUAAUCUCUGUGCUUCAGUUUCCUCACUUGCAAAAUGAGGAUAAUAAUAUUGUUAACACCUAAUCAAGCUGUUAUGAGGAUUAAGGAAUGAAGGAAAUCAUAAAAAGUGCUAGAUAGUUUCCUCCACAUAAGUCUUUCGUGGAUUUAUUCCUAGAUUCCUUACUUUUUUGUUACUACAAAUGAAAAAAUUAAAUUUCACUUUUUCUAACUACCAGUUGUUGGUAUAUGAAAAUACAACUUAUUUUGGUAUAUUGUAAAUUUAUUACUUUUAAUAGCUUAUAAAUUUCCUUAAAUUUUCUAUGUAUACGGCCAUGUCACACUUGACUGAUGACUCUUUC